GGCAGGAUUAAUUAAAAAAUGCCUUUAGCAUCAGAGUGAAUACUUUGAAUUCCAAGGAUAAAGACAAUAAUCCAAUCCACAGCCUUCAGUAAAUUAUAGCAAAUUACCUCUGAAAGAAAAUGAAACUAACAUCGGCUUUUCACUGGUAGUAAUACAUGGUAGAAGUCAGUGGGACAGAAAAAAAUAGUCUGCUACCAAUAUACUCACAUAAGGUGUGAUUUUUCUUUUAGGGCAAAAGAAAAAUAUUUAAGGAAAGGAAAUUAUUUUAGAUUGUGUAUUAAUGGAAUAUGUCGUCGGAGGAAAAUAGUUGAAAAACGAAUUUGACCAACGGGAAACGGAACAAAACCAGAAAUAUCAAGCUGCUGAAAAUUUCCAAUUGACUCGAUUGAGCUAAUAUUAUUUGAGGUUAAUGAAACGAUCAGGAGCCAUACUUAGGUUUCCAGUUAUUUCUUGAGUGACUCUGCUAUCUCUAGCAAGUGCAUAUAGCAAACUGCGAACUACAUUAAAGGAAUGUGAAGAAUAAUGAAGAAUA